ensembl:lincRNA Rprl1 ribonuclease P RNA-like 1
AGUGGGCGGAAGAAGUUCAUCAGCGGGGCCACGUGCUGAGUGAUCGUCACUCUUCGGCCCCUGGGAAGGUCUGAGACUGGGGCCUCCCGCAGCCCUAACCGGGCUCUCCCCUAGCAGGGAGAUGAGUUCCCAGAGAGCAGGGCUCUACGAGUGGGCAGACUGGGCAGGAGAAGCCCUGAGUCAGGGCAGAUGCCUCCCUCACCGGAGCUUGGAACAGACUCACGGCCAGCAGAGCGAG